UACGAAGGCCCCGAGCGUUAUCCGGAUUUAUUGGGCGUAAAGCGUUCAAAGGUGGCUUGGUAAGUAUCUCGUCAAAUCUCACGGCUUAACCGUGAGGCCGCGGGGUAAACUGCCUGGCUUGAGGGCGGAAGAGGCAAGCGGAACUACCGGUGUAGUGGUAAAAUGCGUUCAUAUCGGUAGGAACACCAAAGGCGAAGGCAGCUUGCUGGUACGAUCCUGACACUAAAUAACGAAAGCGUGGGGAGCGAAUGGG
rnacentral:rRNA from 1 species